rnacentral:rRNA from 1 species
UACAGAGGUCCCGAGCGUUGUUCGGAUUCAUUGGGCGUAAAGGGUGCGUAGGCGGCGGGGCAAGUCUGAUGUGAAAUCCCGGGGCUCAACCCCGGAACUGCAUUGGAUACUGCCUUGCUCGAGUACUGGAGAGGGAACUGGAAUUUACGGUGUAGCAGUGAAAUGCGUAGAGAUCGUAAGGAAGGCCAGUGGCGAAGGCGAGUUCGUGGACAGUUACUGACGCUGAGGCACGAAGGCCAGGGGAGCAAACGGG